GAUAAACGCUGGCGGCGUGCCUAAUACAUGCAAGUCGAGCGAACGGACGAGAAGCUUGCUUCUCUGAUGUUAGCGGCGGACGGGUGAGUAACACGUGGAUAACCUACCUAUAAGACUGGGAUAACUUCGGGAAACCGGAGCUAAUACCGGAUAAUAUUUUGAACCGCAUGGUUCAAAAGUGAAAGACGGUCUUGCUGUCACUUAUAGAUGGAUCCGCGCUGCAUUAGCUAGUUGGUAAGGUAACGGCUUACCAAGGCAACGAUGCAUAGCCGACCUGAGAGGGUGAUCGGCCACACUGGAACUGAGACACGGUCCAGACUCCUACGGGAGGCAGCAGUAGGGAAUCUUCCGCAAUGGGCGAAAGCCUGACGGAGCAACGCCGCGUGAGUGAUGAAGGUCUUCGGAUCGUANAACUCUGUUAUUAGGGAAGAACAUAUGUGUAAGUAACUGUGCACAUCUUGACGGUACCUAAUCAGAAAGCCACGGCUAACUACGUGCCAGCAGCCGCGGUAAUACGUAAGUGGCAAGCGUUAUCCGGAAUUAUUGGGCGUAAAGCGCGCGUAGGCGGUUUUUUAGUCUGAUGUGAAAGCCCACGGCUCAACCGUGGAGGGUCAUUGGAAACUGGAAAACUUGAGUGCAGAAGAGGAAAGUGGAAUUCCAUGUGUAGCGGUGAAAUGCGCAGAGAUAUGGAGGAACACCAGUGGCGAAGGCGACUUUCUGGUCUGUAACUGACGCUGAUGUGCGAAAGCGUGGGGAUCAAACAGGAUUAGAUACCCUGGUAGUCCACGCCGUAAACGAUGAGUGCUAAGUGUUAGGGGGUUUCCGCCCCUUAGUGCUGCAGCUAACGCAUUAAGCACUCCGCCUGGGGAGUACGACCGCAAGGUUGAAACUCAAAGGAAUUGACGGGGACCCGCACAAGCGGUGGAGCAUGUGGUUUAAUUCGAAGCAACGCGAAGAACCUUACCAAAUCUUGACAUCCUUUGACAGCUCUAGAGAUAGAGCCUUCCCCUUCGGGGGACAAAGUGACAGGUGGUGCAUGGUUGUCGUCAGCUCGUGUCGUGAGAUGUUGGGUUAAGUCCCGCAACGAGCGCAACCCUUAAGCUUAGUUGCCAUCAUUAAGUUGGGCACUCUAAGUUGACUGCCGGUGACAAACCGGAGGAAGGUGGGGAUGACGUCAAAUCAUCAUGCCCCUUAUGAUUUGGGCUACACACGUGCUACAAUGGACAAUACAAAGGGCAGCGAAACCGCGAGGUCAAGCAAAUCCCAUAAAGUUGUUCUCAGUUCGGAUUGUAGUCUGCAACUCGACUACAUGAAGCUGGAAUCGCUAGUAAUCGUAGAUCAGCAUGCUACGGUGAAUACGUUCCCGGGUCU
rnacentral:rRNA from 1 species